GUAACAAGGUUUCCGUAGGUGAACCUGCGGAAGGAUCAUUAGUGAAACUUCAAAAGUCGGCUUUGUUCUUCUGUUGCUGGUGGGGAGACAACCCACAUGUGCACGUCGAACGGGUCGCAAAUCCCACACACCUGUGAAUCUAUGACUCUGAGUGCCGCUUUGNGUGGCCCCUCACCGGGCCUGGUACUCGAGUAACUUUACACACUCUCGAAUGUAAUGGAAUGUCUAUUGUGCAUAAUGUACAACUAAAACAACUUUCAACAACGGAUCUCUUGGCUCUCGCAUCGAUGAAGAACGCAGCGAAAUGCGAUAAGUAAUGUGAAUUGCAGAAUUCAGUGAAUCAUCGAAUCUUUGAACGCACCUUGCACCCUUUGGUAUUCCGAAGGGUACACCCGUUUGAGUGUCAUUGUAAUCUCACCUCUUCGACUCUUUAUCGGGUCGACCAGUGUGGACUUGGAUGUUGCCGUGUGACAAACGGCUCGUCUGAAAUGCCUUAGUGUACCCUGCUUUGCGGCGUAUUCGGUGUGAUACAUCUUCACCGGAGUCUCGACUUUCGGGUCGGCGCUUGUAUGGUUUGGCUCUAUGCUUUCCAACCGUCCCUGACAAGGACAAAAUACUCUGACAAUUUGACCUCAAAUCGGGUGGGACUACCCGCUGAACUUAAGCAUAUCAAUAAGCGGAGGAAAAGAAACUAACAAGGAUUCCCCUAGUAACGGCGAGUGAAGAGGGAAAAGCUCAAAUUUUGAAUCUGGUGUUUUUGGCGCCCGAGUUGUAAUCUAGAGAAGUGUUUUCCGCGUCGGACCGUGUGCAAGUUUCCUGGAACGGGGUGUCAUAGAGGGUGAGAAUCCCGUAUAUGCCACGGACUACCGAUGCUUUGUGAUACACUCUCAACGAGUCGAGUUGUUUGGGAAUGCAGCUCAAAAUGGGUGGUAAAUUCCAUCUAAAGCUAAAUAUUGGCGAGAGACCGAUAGCGAACAAGUACCGUGGGGGAAAGAUGAAAAGCACUUUGGAAAGAGAGUGAAACAGUACGUGAAAUUGUUGAAAGGGAAGCGUUUGAAGUCAGUCAUAUCUGUCGGGAUUCAGCCUGGCUUCUGCCUGGUGUACUUUCCGUCCGAUGGGUCAGCAUCAAUUUCGAUGGGGGGAAAAAGACGUUUGGAAUGUGGCUGUCUUCGGGCAGUGUUAUAGCCUCGUGUUGUAUGCCUCUGUCGGGAUUGAGGAACGCAGCGCGCCUAUUGGCCGGGGGCUCUGUCCUCUCGAAUCGCGCUUAGGAUGCUGGCAUAAUGCCUUUAAGCGACC
rnacentral:rRNA from 1 species